GUGUUCUCUUCAGCAGCACAUAACUAAAAUUGGAAUGAUACAGAGAAUAUUAGUAUGGCCCCUGUGCAAGGAUGACAUGCAAAUGUGAGGCAUUCCAUAUUUUU